rnacentral:rRNA from 1 species
GAUGAACGCUAGCGACAGGCUUAACACAUGCAAGUCGAGGGGAAACGCCAUGCAAAGCUUGCUUUUGAUGGGCGUCGACCGGCGCACGGGUGAGUAACGCGUAUCCAACCUGCCCAUCACUUGGGAAUAACCUUGCGAACGUAAUACUAAUAACCAAUGAUAUCCCAGGAAGGCAUCGGAAUGGGAGAUAAGAUCUGUCGGUGAUGGAUGGGGAUGCGUCUGAUUAGCUGGUUGGCGGGGGAACGGCACACCAAGGCGACGGUGAGUACGGGUUGUGAGAGGCAGGCCCCCCACAUUGGAACUGCGGCACGGUCCAAACCCGUACGGGGGGCAGGAGUAAGUAAGACUAUGGGAUGGGCGAUGGCCUGACCCAGCCAAGUAGAGUGCAGGAACCCUGCGCUAGGAGUCUGAAUCUGCUUUUAAAAGAGCAGAAAGGGUGUCACGUGUGACUUUUUGACUGUACCUUAUGAAUAAGCACCGGCUAACUCCGUG